rnacentral:lncRNA from 1 species
UGAAUCACGACGUGUUACGUUCGAUUCACACCUUUUAAAUGUACUUAUAUCGUAAAUUGACAAAAGGAAAGUCAAAUAUUUCAAUUAAAUGAAUAAUCUUAGAUCAUCCUAGAAGAAACCCCUCAUAAACCAAUCAAAGCAGCUGAAUUCACAUAAUAAAAUAGACCUCUGUUGAAUUUACAUUAAGAAUAGAGAAAAUAAUAUUUAAUAAACAAUUGAUUAAAUCACAUUAUUGCUAGCUGAUUACGAGGCUAAGCCCACCCCCUUAGUGUAGAUAAUAUCGUUUGUUAAAAAAAAAAUCAUUUGACAACUAAUUUAAUCACAUUAUUAUGCUGGUGCAAAAAACUUUUUUUAUAACCAGCAUUACAUGUCUCUUAAGAUGUUUUGAAUGUGUUUAAAAAUAAAGAAAAUAACAUUUAAUGAACAAUGGAUUGAAUUACAUUAUUACUAGCCUAUUAUAAGGUACUAAUUAUAAAAAUUAAAACAAAAUUAAUUAUUUAAAAACACUGUUAAAAUGACGAAAAUAUUCCUGCCACAUUUGAUGCAUUAUUUUGGACUGCUUUUGAAGUUUU